GAUGAACGCUAGCGGCAGGCUUAAUACAUGCAAGUCGAGGGGCAGCAUGAUUGUAGCAAUACAAUUGAUGGCGACCGGCAAACGGGUGCGGAACACGUACACAACCUCCCAAUAAGUGGGGAAUAGCCCAGAGAAAUUUGGAUUAAUACCCCGUAACAUAACGAUGUGGCAUCACAUUGUUAUUAUAGAUUUUUCGCUUAUUGAUGGGUGUGCGGCUGAUUAGAUAGUUGGCGGGGUAACGGCCCACCAAGUCUACGAUCAGUAGCUGAUGUGAGAGCAGGAUCAGCCACACGGGCACUGAGACACGGGCCCGACUCCUACGGGAGGCAGCAGUAAGGAAUAUUGGACAAUGGACGCAAGUCUGAUCCAGCCAUGCCGCGUGAAGGAUUAAGGUCCUCUGGAUUGUAAACUUCUUUUAUAAGGGACGAAAAAAGGCUUUUCUAAGUCGUCUGACGGUACCUUAUGAAUAAGCACCGGCUAACUCCGUGCCAGCCGCCGCCAUAAAAC
rnacentral:rRNA from 1 species